AUAUUUAUAAACAGAAAAUAAAAAUAACUAUCCGCACGGUUGUGCGGGUCAAGAUCUAGUUCUUAUUAUGUUAGGUGAAAGGUAGAUUUUUUAUUGAAUUUUGAGAUAUAAAAAAGUGAAUCUUUGUUUGGUUCGAAUCAAAUAGUGAGUGACGAUGAUACUUUGAUGUAUAACUUUUGUAUCUUAUCGUUCGAGACAUUAAAAGUGAAUCUUUAUUUAGUCAAUUAAGCAAUCUUUUUUUUUCUUGUGUCAAUAUAAGUUUUAUUUCCUGUAAAGUUUUGAUAUUAGUUAUUUUUCUCUCGAUGGGUCUUGACUCUUAUAUGUUUGUUGGUGUUUGUUUCGGUCUCUGGACUUUCUGGAAAUGUAGCAACUGCGCGAAGCCAAGUCUCUGUGGGAAUGGAUUUGCUCGCUGGCUCUACCGUUAUGCUUCCUACUGUUCUUUGUGAAACUUGCACGGUUGUUGGCAAAUGUGACAUUUGUGAUACAAUGGCAAGUGUGACAUUCGUGAUACUUUUGAUGCGCUCAUGCCGUGUACUAAGACGUCGUUGGUAACAUGUUUUUAAUAUUUGUUCUUUUUCUCUCGAUGGAUCUCGAAUCUUAUAUAUUUGUUUCAGUCUCACGGUAGCAGGAGAUAUUAACACUUCCUCCAACAUGACACCCUGAGAUUCUAUAAAGGCCAAAGGCCAAACAAGCGAUCAUCUUACAAUAAACCUAAGGGAUAAAAGGUUUGACGUUACAAGACAGAGUUCUCGUCGCAGGCUGUUGAUGAAACACUUUGGGUCAAACAUUCUCACUUUUCACUUUUCCGGAAGCAAAUACUGAAGUCAAAAUGAAGGUGAGUACAUAAAAUGGUUUAAACCUAUGAUAUAAUCCAAAUACAAGAGUUAUAUAAAACACAAUAAAUUCACCUUUUGCGUUAUUCGAAGGUUGAAAAGUUUUGACAUGAUUUAGGAAUUUCCACGUGGACCCUGAAGUCUACUCGGAUCCUAGAAAAUUUGAACCUUCUGGAUGGAAUGUAAGUUAGAUUUCUCAUCUUGCGUUGUUUGUGCCAAAGAAUGUUAGUUUCAUUUGAAUAUUGUAGCAAGUAAAAACAUAGUACGGUUGUGAUUUUUCAGAAGUGCUUCGCCCCAAAAGCUGGUGCUUUCUUUUCUUUUGGUGCAAGGAUAUGAUCUUCCUAAGCUCAAUAUUGUAAUCUCUCAUCACUGAUUCAUUUCCUUCUUAAAUAUCAGUAAUUCUUGCAAAUUUUGAAUCUUUGAAAUGUCAUUCCUUCUGUAAUAUGCUGAAAACAUCCAUGGAGAUAUUCAUGUUGGCAUGGUGAAACUGAGAAACAUUGAAUGUCCAGUGGUAUACUUGCCACAUACCACACCAGCUGAUAAAUGCUUGGUAAGUUUCAGAUAUCAGUAAAACAUGAAUCUCAUCUUCCUCAUUAAGCUCAAAGGAGAUGAUGUUCCAUUGAGUUAAACCUUUCUUCGGUUCUAAACCUCAUCAGGCUACUUAACUAUGUUCCAUGAAACAAGGCUUUUUUCUUUUCAUUAGGUAUUUUAUUUUGUAAAACUUUUUUUAUCUUAAUGUGCUUUGAUAAAUGGAAAUACUAAAAGCAGUUCUUGAUUACAAUGUUACCCCCAGACAUUCUCAAAAUCUUAGUCUGGAAAUUAAACAUGUUAUUGGCACAUCAUACACAUUCUGUUGGAGUUAAAAACCUCUUGGACAAGAAGAACGAUAAUGAAUGUCCAAAGAGCUCUCUCUGUAAUUUUGGUUAAUCUAGAUCCUCGAAAUAAUGUUGCGUUUUUGGACAAAAAAAAUGUUCCAUGCGUUUAAAUUACAAGAAUGAUAAGCAAAACGGUUGUCCAGACACAUACCCUUUGAAAAUUAAUAUAGUAUAAAAAUACACAAUUUUCAAAUAUAGUUAAAAAACAUUCAGAAAAAAAAAUUGACACCUCAUCGUCAUUUUCUUAAAUUAAUAAAUUACCCUCAAAAAUUUUGUUCUCUUCUUAUUUAUAUCAAAUUUAUUAAAAAAACCAGCAAUCCAUUUUUCUAAUCAAUAUUUCAUUUUCCUUCCAAAAAUUGAAAUGAUUUUAUUUCAACCAAUGAUAAUUUAGUAACUUACAUAAUAUAGUCCAAAAUAUUUGAAAAUAAUAAAUAUUUCCUUUACUAUAUUAAUUUUUUACGUUUCAUUAAACCAACUUUAAACAAAAAAGUAUUUUAACAAAAAAAAUUUAGUUACCAAAAUCAAUUUUAGAAGAAAUAAUAAUAAAACUAUUUUUUAAAAAAGUUUAAAAACUAAAAAGUAACAAGAUAUAACCAAUAAUUUUUAAUGAAAAUUAAUAUAAUAUAAAAAUA